rnacentral:rRNA from 1 species
GACGAACCGUGCAAACGUUGUUCGGAAUCACUGGGCUUAAAGGGCGCGUAGGCGGGCGGCCAAGUCAGGGGUGAAAUCUUUCGGCUCAACCGGAAAAUUGCCUUUGAAACUGGCUGUCUCGAGGGAGGUAGGGGCAUGUGGAAUUUACGGUGUAGCGGUGAAAUGCGUAGAUAUCGUAAGGAAGACCAGUGGCGAAGGCGGGUCUCUGGACAGUUCCUGACGCUGAGGCACGAAGGCCAGGGGAGCAAACGGG